rnacentral:rRNA from 1 species
CCUACGGGGGGCAGCAGUGGGGAAUAUUGGACAAUGGGGGCAACCCUGAUCCAGCCAUGCCGCGUGUGUGAAGAAGGCCCUCGGGUUGUAAAGCACUUUCAGUGAGGAAGAACGCCUGGUGGUUAAUAUCCAUCAGGAAAGACAUCACUCACAGAAGAAGCACCGGCUAACUCCGUGCCAGCAGCCGCGGUAAUACGGAGGGUGCGAGCGUUAAUCGGAAUUACUGGGCGUAAAGCGCGCGUAGGUGGCUUGAUAAGCCGGUUGUGAAAGCCCCGGGCUCAACCUGGGAACGGCAUCCGGAACUGUCAAGCUAGAGUGCAGGAGAGGAAGGUAGAAUUCCCGGUGUAGCGGUGAAAUGCGUAGAGAUCGGGAGGAAUACCAGUGGCGAAGGCGGCCUUCUGGACUGACACUGACACUGAGGUGCGAAAGCGUGGGUAGCAAACAGGAUUAGAUACCCUAGUAGUC